rnacentral:lncRNA from 10 species
GUUGAAUGCUUUCAGCAUUAACCAUCAGCCCAGAGUUGCAGCUCCCUCCUCAUCUCAGGGAAAUGGAACUUCUCACAUAUCACAGACAACUUGGAGGAAGCUCAGCUGGACCAGAAGAGCCAGAAAUCGGGAGCAUGCAAUGGCAGAUCAUCAGGGCAAGGCCACUCACCAGCAGGGAGGCCCAGUGAAUGCAGAGCAGGUGGCAACAGGAAAGACUGGAGGCCAGUCUGAUAGGAAGGCAAACACCAGCAAGAGGCAAUUCCGGGAUCAUUUAUGGGAAACCGAGGCAUGGUCUGCAGAGGCAACCGCCCCCCCCACCGUCACUUCCAGAGAGAUGAACGGAAACCUGAUCUCUGAGAACCCAGUCUUCUCAACAAGUUGUCAACAUGCUAAUAAGCAUAGUGUCUUACUCUGUAGCAGAUCAAUUUCAAAGGCAUUCUCAUUGUCCUGCAGAAAUCACAGAUCUGGAUCUAUAAACCAUCAUUUACAAAAAUUUUGAUAUCCUUGAUAUUGUUUUAAGAAAAAGCAUCAUGACCUUAAAGUCCACAAACUGUGGAAACACAGUAAGUUUUGGAUCCAAACCAUGAACUGGAGGCUCUGCACCGAAACAGGAACAAGGGAAUGGAUGUCUACCAAGAGAGAAGCAAAAAGCUGAUGUCUCUGCCUGC